AUGAAUACUAGGUGUUGGCAUCCAAAGGAUGUCGGUGCCGUCGCAAACGCAAUAAGUAUUCCACCUGGGGAGUACGUUCGCAAGAAUGAAACUCAAAGGAAUUGACGGGGACCCGCACAAGCAGUGGAGCAUGUGGUUUAAUUCGAAGCAACGCGAAGAACCUUACCAAGUCUUGACAUCCCGAUGACCGGCCUGUAAAGAGGCCUUCUCUUCGGAGCAUUGGAGACAGGUGGUGCAUGGCUGUCGUCAG
rnacentral:rRNA from 1 species